rnacentral:tRNA from 1 species
UCCCUAGUGGCUCAGAGGUUAAAGCGUCUGCCUACAAUGUGGGAGACCUGGGUUCGAUCCCUGGGUUGGGAA